CUCCUCUAAAUUCCUCUUAAUCCUCCUCUAAAUUCCUCUUAAUCCUCUAAAUUCCUCUUAAUCCUCCUCUAAAUCCCUCUUAAUCCUCUAAAUUCCUCUUAAUCCUCCUCUAAAUCCCUCUUAAUCCUCUAAAUUCCUCUUAAUCCUCCUCUAAAUUCCUCUUAAUCCUCCUCUAAAUUCCUCUUAAUCCUUCUCUAAUUUCCUCUUAAUCCUCCUCUUAAUCAUCCUCUUAAUCCUUCUCUAAAUUCCUCUUAAUCCUCCUCUAAAUUCCUCUUAAUCCUCCUCUUAAUCAUCCUCUUAAUCCUUCUCUAAAUUCCUCUUAAUCCUCUAAAUUCCUCUUAAUCCUCCUCUAAAUUCCUCUUAAUCCUCCUCUAAAUUCCUCUUAAUCCUCCUCUAAAUUCCUCUUAAUCCUCUAAAUUCCUCUUAAUCCUCCUCUAAAUUCCUCUUAAUCCUCUAAAUUCCUCUUAAUCCUCUGAAUUCCUCUUAAUCCUCUGAAUUCCUCUUAAUCCUCCUCUAAAUUCCUCUUAAUCCUCCUCUAAAUCCCUCUUCCAUAUCCUCUAAGUGGUUUAGAAGCGGAUCAAAACAAACAACACUGUAAAACCAGCCCUCAGAGGAUAUGGUAAAGGAUUAAGAGGCUUAGAAGAGGAUUUACGGCGACGCUCGGACACCAACGUCAGCGUGGCCAUAGCGGAAGGGUUGAUGUAUCGUCGCACACUUAGGAAAUGAACCACAGCUGCCAUUAUGUUAGUGUUAAGUGCGGAAGGAGCGGAGAGCUACAUGGGACUGGUAUUGACGGGAGGGACAUGUUAGGUCAGCUUAGGUUCUUAUGAGGCAAACCAGGUGUGUGGGAGGUGUGGAGAGCUACAUGGGACUGGUAUUGACGGGAGGGACAUGUUAGGUCAGCUUAGGUUGUUAUGAGACAAACCAGGUGUGUGGGAGGACUGCGGAGAGCUACAUGGGACUGGUAUGGAAGGGAGGGACAUGUUAGGUCAGCUUAGGUUGUUAUGAGGCAAACCAUGUGUUGAGGGAGGACUGUGGCUGCCUGUGACCUAGUAAUGAUGAUGGUAAUGUUUAUAAUGAGUACAAGAAUGAUGUGUGUAGACUGUGUGGGUGUAAGACUAUAGUUUCCUCUCCCUUGUGACCUGGUGCUGUGGAUAAGCUUAUGUUUAAUGGAUGUGUUUACCGACAUGACAGUGAUGGAGAGUGAUGCUGGAGUGUGCCGGGCCAGGUCUGGGGUGUGCUCCAAAGAUCAGCUCCGGUGGGCAGCAUGACCCAGGCAAGAUGGCACCACUGUGAAGACCUGCCCAUACCACAACAGACUGGGGCACACCACCAAGCCACACCAGUUAAAAGUUGUUACUGGUGUCCCAAGGAAAUGUUUAUAAAUUUUCAAGAUUGGUGAUUGUAACUCCUAAACAUCCCUGGCCGCCAGCACACCAGGGGAGAUUGACGCAGCAUAACAUAGUGUAAUGAUAUUCAAACUUGGUAGGCUAGACUGUCUUCUCCCCUCCUGUAAUGUAUUCUAAGCUUAAGUUACCCAUCAAGCUGAGGUGAUGGUCCCCUGCAGCUUAAGAUAUUACUGUGUGUGUGUGUGUGUGUGUGUGUGUGUGUGUGUGUGUGUGUGUGUGUGUGUGUGUAUGUCAACAUUUUGUAUCUCGACUAUUUCCGGAGGCCAAAAAUGAGACCGGUCGGGUUCUAAUGGGUGUGUUUGCCCGGUGGUGGUUUUACGAAUGCGGAGAAAUCAGAGUUUGUUUACGAUCGACAACGCACAUUAAACAAGACUCUCACAUCUUAACAAAUAUACUUGGACUGUUCUUAACCUGGUACCUGCGUGGGUUGUGUUUCUUAAUGGUCCCUCCAAGCCAGAAAAAUGAGAAAAAAUCACCCUCACACAAACCAUUUCAUAAUAUAUAUCAAAGCAUUUGUGAUCAGAUUAUGUAUCAUCUAUUUUUAGGGGGUUUAUAUCAUGGCACAAAUUUGGCCCGUCGCUGCUACACGGUAAAGCCACAAAUUUGGCCCGUCGCUGCUACACGGUAAAGCCACAAAUUUGGCCCGUCGCUGCUACACGGUAAAGCCACAAAUUUGGCCCGUCGCUGCUACACGGUAAAGCCACAAAUUUGGCCCGUCGCUGCUACACGGUAAAGCCACAAAUUUGGCCCGUCGCUGCUACACGGUUAAGUUUAUAAAGGGAGGUUAAUGAUAGGAAGAUAAACUAAGAUAUGUAUAGAAAUAAGAUCACAAAAUUAAACUUGUAAUAAUAAGCGUAAAUUGAUCUCUCUCUUAAGUCCGGUGCUAAGUUUAAAUAUACCAAUCUUACUAAUGAAUGAAGAUAAUGACAGCUGGAUUAAGAUAGAAGAUAACUUAAUGAUAGGUAUUUUAAGAUAGUAAGGUAAUGAUUCUUUAUUACUAAGGAAAUUAAACUUGAGAUGAUCAGUUUAAAUCCCUUACUCUCUCUAUCUUAAGUUUUGGUGCUAAGUAAACAUAUAUAUAUACUCAUAGGAUUAAGGAGUAAGAUAGUUAAGAUACUGGUUAUUGAAGAGAAAGUGGAGGAAGAGAAGGAGAGGAGGAAGAAAGGAAGAGAAAGAAGAGGAGGAAGAAAGGAAGAGAAAGAAGGAGAGAAAGGAGAAGAGGAAGAAGAAGAGGAAGAGAAGGGAGAGGAGGAAGAAAGGAGAGGAAGAGAAAGAAGGAGAGAAAGGAGAAGAGGAAGAAAGGAAGAGGAAGAAGAAGAGAAAGAAAAUAGAAGAGAAAGCAAUAUUAAACACCAAUAAACAAAGAUGGAAAUAAAAUUGAAAUAUCCAGAAAUUACAUAAAAAAAUUGGAAAGGAAGAAGAGAGACAGAAUUAAAGAAAGAGAGGAAGAAGAAGAAGAAGAAGAGAAUGGGGUAGAUAGAGAGAAAAUAUGUUAAUUAAUGAAUAUUAGAUUGAUAUUAGGUUAGGUUAAUUUAAUGAGGUAUUGUUCCUUGAUAUAUUGAUAAGAUUAAAUUGUUGAUGGACGGAAUAUAUUGUAGAUUGAUUUAACUUCUCCUCCUCCUCCUCCUCUUCUUCCUCCUCCUCCUCCUCCUCCUGCUCCUUCUCUUCCUCUUCCUUCUUUUCCUCAUUUUUCUUCUCCUGUUUUCUUCCUCCUCCAAAAUGUUUUAUAGAUUAAUUUAACUUUUUCUCCUCCUCCUCCUCUUCUUCCUCCUCCUCCUCCUCCUCUUCCUCCUUUUUUUCUUUUCUUUCUUAUUUAAUUUUUCUUCUCCUGUUUUCUUCCUCCUCCAAAAUGUUUUAUAGAUUAAUUUAACUUUUUCUCCUCCUCCUCCUCCUCUUCCUCCUCCUCCUCCUCCUCCUCUGCACAGGUGUCUUAAGUUAAUCACAGUCAUUAGAGGGAGACUUUGCCAGGUGUGGAUCUUAUAUAUGUGUUCACAGGUGUGUGUGUGUGUGUGUGUGUGUGUGUGUGUACUUUAAUUUUCUUUCAUUUUUUUUCUUUUUAUUUAUUUCUCUCUCUCUCUCUCUCUCUCUCUCUCUCUCUCUCUCUCUCUCUCUCUCUCUCUCUCUCUCUCUCUCUCUCUCUCUCUCUCUCUCUCUCUCUCAUUCUUUUUUUCUUUUCUCUCCC